rnacentral:rRNA from 1 species
UACAUGUGGUGCAAGCGUUGUUCGGAAUCACUGGGCAUAAAGGGUGCGUAGGCGGCGCGGUAAGUCGGGUGUGAAAUCUUGGAGCUUAACUCCGAAACUGCAUUCGAUACUGCCGUGCUUGAGGACUGGAGAGGAGACUGGAAUUUACGGUGUAGCGGUGAAAUGCGUAGAUAUCGUAAGGAAGACCAGUGGCGAAGGCGGGUCUCUGGACAGUUCCUGACGCUGAGGCACGAAGGCCAGGGGAGCAAACGGG